UACGAAGGGGGCUAGCGUUGUUCGGAAUUACUGGGCGUAAAGCGCACGUAGGCGGAUACUUAAGUUAGGGGUGAAAUCCCGGGGCUCAACCCCGGAACUGCCUUUAAUACUGGGUAUCUCGAGUUCGAGAGAGGUGAGUGGAAUUCCGAGUGUAGAGGUGAAAUUCGUAGAUAUCUGGAGGAACACCGGUGGCGAAGGCGGCAUCCUGGACCAAUACUGACGCUGAGGAGCGAAAGCCAGGGGAGCAAACGGGG
rnacentral:rRNA from 1 species